AUUGAACGCUGGCGGCAGGCCUAACACAUGCAAGUCGAGCGUGCGGCGGACGGGUGAGUAAUGUAUGGGGACUGCCCGAUAGAGGGGGAUAACUACGGGAAACGGUGGCUAAUACCGCAUACAGUCGGAUAAGCCAUAUUGGAUUCGCUAGUAGGUAAGGUAAUGGCUUACCUAGGCGACGAUCCCUAGCUGGUCUGUGAGGAUGAUCAGCCACACUGGGACUGAGACACGGCCCAGACUCCUACGGAGGCAGCAGUGGGGAAUCUUGCACAAUGGGCGCAAGCCUGAUGCAGCCAUGCCGCGUGUAUGAAGAAGGCCCUAGGGUUGUAAAGUACUUUCAGUCGGGAGGCGUUACCGACAGAAGAAGCACCGGCUAACUCCGUGCCAGCAGCCGCGGUAAUUC
rnacentral:rRNA from 1 species